AGCGAACGCUGGCGGCAUGCCUAACACAUGCAAGUCGCACGGGUCGGCCUCGGCUGGUCAGUGGCGGACGGGUGAGGAACGCGUAGGGAUCCGUCCUCUGGUGGGCUAUAACCGCGGGAUACUUCCGCUAAGACCGCAUGAUGCCCCGGUGUGAGAGCCGGUCUCAAAGGCGCGCAUCGCCAGGUGUGGGUCGCCGGGGGGUAGGCCUGCGUCCGCUUCUCUGGUUGGCGGGGUAGUCGCACACCAAUGCGUCGAUCGGUAGCUGGUCGGAGAGCGUGAUAAACAACACUGGGAAUGCGGCACGGCCCAGAAUCCUACGGGAGGGAGCAGUGGGGAAUAUAGGACAAUGAGGGCUAGCCUGAUCAAGCAAUGCGGCGUGGGUGAAGAAGGUCGUCGGAUUGUAAAGCCGUUUCGGCGGGGGCGAUGGUGACGGUACCGGCAGAAGAAGCCCCGGCUAACUUCGUG
rnacentral:rRNA from 1 species